GACGAACGCUUGCGGCGUGCUUAACACAUGCAAGUCGAACGGAAAGGCCCUGCUUUUGUGGGGUGCUCGAGUGGCGAACGGGUGAGUAACACGUGAGUAACCUGCCCUUGACUUUGGGAUAACUUCAGGAAACUGGGGCUAAUACCGGAUAGGAGCUCCUGCUGCAUGGUGGGGGUUGGAAAGUUUCGGCGGUUGGGGAUGGACUCGCGGCUUAUCAGCUUGUUGGUGGGGUAGUGGCUUACCAAGGCUUUGACGGGUAGCCGGCCUGAGAGGGUGACCGGUCACAUUGGGACUGAGAUACGGCCCAGACUCCUACGGGAGGCAGCAGUGGGGAAUAUUGCACAAUGGGCGGAAGCCUGAUGCAGCAACGCCGCGUGCGGGAUGACGGCCUUCGGGUUGUAAACCGCUUUCGCCCGUGACGAAGCGUGAGUGACGGUAAUGGGUAAAGAAGCACCGGCUAACUACGUGCCAGCAGCCGCGGUGAUACGUAGGGUGCGAGCGUUGUCCGGAUUUAUUGGGCGUAAAGGGCUCGUAGGUGGUUGAUCGCGUCGGAAGUGUAAUCUUGGGGCUUAACCCUGAGCGUGCUUUCGAUACGGGUUGACUUGAGGAAGGUAGGGGAGAAUGGAAUUCCUGGUGGAGCGGUGGAAUGCGCAGAUAUCAGGAGGAACACCAGUGGCGAAGGCGGUUCUCUGGGCCUUUCCUGACGCUGAGGAGCGAAAGCGUGGGGAGCGAACAGGCUUAGAUACCCUGGUAGUCCACGCUGUAAACGGUGGGUACUAGGUGUGGGGUCCAUUCCACGGGUUCCGUGCCGUAGCUAACGCUUUAAGUACCCCGCCUGGGGAGUACGGCCGCAAGGCUAAAACUCAAAGGAAUUGACGGGGCCCCGCACAAGCGGCGGAGCAUGCGGAUUAAUUCGAUGCAACGCGUAGAACCUUACCUGGGUUUGACAUGGAUCGGGAGUGCUCAGAGAUGGGUGUGCCUCUUUUGGGGUCGGUUCACAGGUGGUGCAUGGCUGUCGUCAGCUCGUGUCGUGAGAUGUUGGGUUAAGUCCCGCAACGAGCGCAACCCUUGUUCACUGUUGCCAGCACGUUAUGGUGGGGACUCAGUGGAGACCGCCGGGGUCAACUCGGAGGAAGGUGGGGAUGACGUCAAGUCAUCAUGCCCCUUAUGUCCAGGGCUUCACGCAUGCUACAAUGGCUGGUACAGAGAGUGGCGAGCCUGUGAGGGUGAGCGAAUCUCGGAAAGCCGGUCUCAGUUCGGAUUGGGGUCUGCAACUCGACCUCAUGAAGUCGGAGUCGCUAGUAAUCGCAGAUCAGCAACGCUGCGGUGAAUACGUUCCCGGGGCU
rnacentral:rRNA from 1 species